GAUGAACGCUGGCGGCGUGCCUAAUACAUGCAAGUCGAGCGGACAGACGAGGAGCUUGCUCCUCUGACGUUAGCGGCGGACGGGUGAGUAACACGUGGAUAACCUACCUAUAAGACUGGGAUAACUUCGGGAAACCGGAGCUAAUACCGGAUAAUAUAUUGAACCGCAUGGUUCAAUAGUGAAAGACGGUUUUGCUGUCACUUAUAGAUGGAUCCGCGCCGCAUUAGCUAGUUGGUAAGGUAACGGCUUACCAAGGCGACGAUGCGUAGCCGACCUGAGAGGGUGAUCGGCCACACUGGAACUGAGACACGGUCCAGACUCCUACGGGAGGCAGCAGUAGGGAAUCUUCCGCAAUGGGCGAAAGCCUGACGGAGCAACGCCGCGUGAGUGAUGAAGGUCUUCGGAUCGUAAAACUCUGUUAUUAGGGAAGAACAAAUGUGUAAGUAACUGUGCACGUCUUGACGGUACCUAAUCAGAAAGCCACGGCUAACUACGUG
rnacentral:rRNA from 1 species